AUUCAGCCGACGAGCCGCGAAUAAGAUGAAACGCAUGUCCUGGAU
rnacentral:hammerhead_ribozyme from 1 species